AUUGAACGCUGGCGGCAUGCCUUACACAUGCAAGUCGAACGGUAACAGGUCUUCGGAUGCUGACGAGUGGCGAACGGGUGAGUAAUACAUCGGAACGUGCCUAGUAGUGGGGGAUAACUACUCGAAAGAGUGGCUAAUACCGCAUGAGAUCUACGGAUGAAAGCAGGGGAUCGCAAGACCUUGUGCUACUAGAGCGGCCGAUGGCAGAUUAGGUAGUUGGUGGGAUAAAAGCUUACCAAUCCGACGAUCUGUAGCUGGUCUGAGAGGACGAUCAGCCACACUGGGACUGAGACACGGCCCAGACUCCUACGGGAGGCAGCAGGGGGGAAUUUUGGACAAUGUGCGCAAGCCUGACCUAGCAAUGCCGCGUGCAGGAUGAAGGCCUUCGGGUUGUAAACUGCUUUUGUACGGAACGAAAAGCCCUGGGUUAAUACCCUGGGGUCAUGACGGUACCGUAAGAAUAAGCACCGGCUAACUACGUGCCAGCAGCCGCGGUAAGAC
rnacentral:rRNA from 1 species